UUAGGCCUCUUUCCCUCUUUCACUUCCUUACCCUCUUUCCCUAGUUUCAGUUGGAUUUAGUAAUUAGAAACCUAACCUAUACUGAAGAGAUCGGCUGUGAAAGAACUCAGAGAAGUGAGAACUGAGAAACCUAAGUACUAGAGUGCAAUAAAGACGACGUCACAUUUCAUUCUUCAAUCUUCAACAGAUGGUAGAUGAAAUUAGAGUAAGUGAUGCCGGUUCAAGUGAAAGUUUAUCUAUUACUGAAGAUAGCAACACCAACACCAUUGAUACUCAAGAUACUAAGAGAAGAAAAGCCAUGCAACCUAGAUCCGACGUUUGGCAUCAUUUUGAUAAAUUUGAGAUAUGGAAAAUAAUGGAAGCACUACUAGCAUGGUUUGAACUUUGAUGUAUAGUUGCAACUUGCAAUUUGAGUGGUUCAAGUGCAAUCAUGCCCCGUGCUCCUAAAGUACGCUCUCAUAUUUGGAAAGACUUUGAGGUGAAAGAAGAUAACAGAGAAGUUCACGAAGUAGAGUGCAAGCAUUGUGUCGAGUCUAUAAUGUUCAUCCAAAGAGGGAUGGCACAUAUUGUUUGAGGAAGCAUAUUUGGCAUUGUCUUGAGCGUCUUCUUGAAAUCCGUAUUUAAGAAUUAAGACUAAGUUGAUUCAAGACUAUUACUGUAAACUUGAAUUGAGGGAUGCCCUCUCUAUUUUUGUUGCACUGUGUUUAAUUCUGCUACUACUGUUAGAGUCUGCUGCUACUGUUGCACUGUUAAGACUAAGUUAAUUCAGUUGCUACUGUUGCACGGUUAGAGUCUAUUUUUGUUUAAUCCUGUUGCACUGUGUUAAACUUGAAUUGUGGCUAUUUGUGAGUCA